rnacentral:rRNA from 1 species
AUGGAGGCAUGGCUCCUGCUCCCUGUCGCCCUCCUCCUCCCCUUCCUCAUCGUCCUGCUCGCGCAGCGCGUCGCGGGUAAGGCCAAGAACGGCAGCCGCAUCCCGCCGGGCCCGCUCGCCUUGCCGUUGCUCGGCAGCCUGCUGUGGCUGAUGCACUCCUCAGCCGACGUGGAGCCCCUCCUCCGGCGCCUCAUGGCGCGGCACGGCCCCGUCGUGUCGCUGCGCGUCGGCUCCCGCCUCUCCAUCUUCGUGGCCGACCGGCGACUGGCCCACGCCGCCCUGGUGGAGCGUGGCGCCGCUCUGGCUGACCGCCCGGCGGUCACGCGCGGCCUCUUCGGCGAGACUGGCAACACAGUCGCGCGCGCCUGCUACGGGCCCGCGUGGCGCCUCCUGCGGCGCAACCUCGUCUCGGAGACGCUGCACCCGUCGCGUGUCCGCCUCUUCGCGCCCGCGCGCGCCUGGGUGCGCCGCGUGCUCGCGGACAAGCUGCUGCGGGACUCCGGCCCCGGCGUGGAGGCGGCGCCCCGCGGGGUCAUGGUCAUGGAGGCGUUCCGGUACGCCAUGUUCUGCCUCCUCGUGCUCAUGUGCUUCGGCGAGAGGCUCGACGAGGCCGCGGUGCGGGCGGUCGGCGCCGCGCAGCGCGACUGGCUCUUGUACGUCGCGCGCAAGAAGAGUGUCUUCGCCUUCUGGCCGGCUGUCACCAAGCACCUUUUUCGCGGCCGUCUCAAGAUGGGCCUCGCCCUGCGGCGGCGGCAGAAGGAGCUCUUCCUGCCGCUGAUUGACGCGCGGCGGGAGCGCAAGAAGCAGAUCAACCGUGGCGCCGGCGUGGUGUUGCCGAUGGCGGAGACCACGUUUGAGCACUCGUACGUGGACACCCUGCUCGACAUCAAGCUCCCUGAAGAAGAAGAGGCUGGCCGCGCGCUCACGGACGACGAGAUGGUCGUACUCUGCUCCGAGUUCCUUAUCGCCGGAACCGACACCACCUCCACCGGGCUGCAAUGGAUCAUGGCUGAGCUCGUCAAGAACCCGGCCAUCCAAGACAAGCUCUAUGACGAGAUCAGCGCCACAACUGGAGACGACUGGCAAGAGGUCUCCGAGGAGGAUAUCCACAAGAUGCCUUACCUCAAAGCCGUCGUCCUUGAGGGACUGCGCAGGCACCCACCGGCGCACUUCGUGCUGCCGCACAAGGCGAUGGAGGACAUGGAGAUUGACGGGUACCUGAUCCCGAAGGGCGCCACUGUGAACUUCAUGGUGGCCGAGAUGGGCAGGGACGAGCGGGAGUGGGAGAAGCCGAUGGAGUUCGUGCCCGAGCGAUUCUUGCCGGGCGGCGAUGGCGAGGGGGUGGAUGUGGCCGGCAGCAGGGAGAUCAGGAUGAUGCCAUUCGGUGUCGGGAGGAGGAUCUGCGCCGGGCUCGGCGUCGCCAUGCUUCACCUUGAGUACUUCGUGGCCAAUUUGGUCAAUGAGUUCGAGUGGCGUGAGAUUCCAGGCGACGAGGUGGAUUUCGCCGAGAAGCCGGAGUUCACCGUCGUCAUGGCCAAGCCGCUGUGCGCGAGGUUGGUGCCCAGAAGCAGGAGCUGA